rnacentral:sRNA from 1 species
AUUAGGACUUAAAAUUUAUUACACAUACAGGCUGGCAGGCAGACAGGCCAAACUCCACCCUCGAAAGGCGCUUUGCCAGCAGAUUUUCGAGAAAUAAGAAGGUUGAAAAGAGGGUUGCUCUGACUCUGACUCUGAUCCUUGGCUUGCCUUGGCUUGGGUCCCUUUUUUCGAUUUUCAUUUGUGACGCGUCAAAUACGUUGUUACAAUUCUCUGGUCUGCCAAACGAAAUAAAAACCGCACACGGAGCGACAGGACGAAGAAAACGGAACACAAAACGGAGCAGAACAGGACAGAACAGAAGGCAGAAAAACUUAAUAAAUGGGCUAAAAGUGUAAAACCUCAGUCUGAGUGUACAGUAAUCAGUGGCGUAGUCUGGUGGAGGGAUGGAAAUCCCUCACACAGCGAGAGAGGGAGGAGAGAUGACUAAUGGAAUGGCUUACAGAAGUCGCUUUUUGGGACUUUGUUUGUUUACUGAUUAUUCAAUUCAAUGUCAACCCUCUGUCCCCCCAGGCUCCUGAUGCCGAUAACAAAUAUGUAUAAUUUGGUUGCUUAA